GCGUUUGUGAUGGAAUUGGUAGACAUGCUGGCUUUAGAUGCCAGUGCCUGAGGCGUGGGAGUUCAAAUCUCCCCAAACGUACCA
rnacentral:tRNA from 2 species